rnacentral:misc_RNA from 1 species
CGGCUAACCGUGUGGGGCUGUCUUUUCACUGUGCCUCCCGUCGCGCGUUCGUGGCCCGGGAGGAACGCUUGCUUUUCGGUCGUCUGUGUGGGUCUACCGGUGUGCGGUAUGAUGUUCGGUUUGAUGACGGAUCUCUGCUCGCCCCGUUGACGUUCAUUGUCAUCGGUGCAGCCGACUUGUUGGCUUUAUGCGCGUGCUGUGGGCGAGGGCCCCGACAGUGCGCGUGGAUUCUGCCGGCUCUCAUGGAUGCCGUGCCCCUCGAGGGAUUCGCGGGCCUCCGGUCCCCCGACUUCCGCGGGAAGUCCCUUGCGUGCGGGGCGUGCUCGUGUGCGGGCGAGAUGUUUAUCCGAUUGGCUGAGCGAUUGCCGCUCUCACGUCGUUCCACGAUGACGAGGCUGCUCUCGUUUAGGAUGGGCUACCUGGUUGAUCCUGCCAGUAGUCA